rnacentral:rRNA from 1 species
UACGUAGGGGGCAAGCGUUGUUCGGAAUUACUGGGCGUAAAGGGCUCGUAGGCGGCCAACUAAGUCAGACGUGAAAUCCCUCGGCUUAACCGGGGAACUGCGUCUGAUACUGGAUGGCUAGAGGUUGGGAGAGGGAUGCGGAAUUCCAGGUGUAGCGGUGAAAUGCGUAGAUAUCUGGAGGAACACCGGUGGCGAAGGCGGCAUCCUGGACCAAUUCUGACGCUGAGGAGCGAAAGCCAGGGGAGCAAACGGG